rnacentral:lncRNA from 1 species
UGCAGAGGAGCGGAUACGAAGAGAAGUCUGUUUGAUUCACCGUGUGUUUACCAUCACAGUGAACGGGAGCCCCGUGCAGCCCGUUGGGGUCCAGAACGCGUUGGUCCAGCAUGCUGCAGACCCCCUGCAGACCGACCCCCAUCCAACGCAGGAGGACGAGGCCGACAUAAGGAACACCGUCAACGGGGCGACCGGGGACGGCCCGGAGACGGUCGGCCCGGAGACGGUCGGCCCGGAGACGGUCGGCCCGGGGACGGACGGCGGGCUGCGGGACGCGGUAGACUCUGAAGACCUCCUGCCAGCAGCCGACACGCCUCCACCCUCCUCCUCCUCCUCCUCCUCCUCCUCCUCCUCCUCCUCCUCGGAGGGUUUCUACCUCCCCUCUCUCCCCUGCUCACCCACCCCCUCCCUGGCCGACCAGGCCCUCUCCAGGCUGAACUGCCCCGCCUCCUCCGAGCCGACCAAUCACAGAGAAAGUCCACCCAUGGAUACUUGUGACCUCAGUCUCGUGGCUCUGGAGGUGGACAGUGAGGAGGACGAGUCGCUGCUCUCGCCCGUCGAGAAAAGUGACGACGGAGGGGAAGUCCUUGGCCCCGCCCCCGAGCUCACGGGCACUCGCAGCCUGUCGGCCUCCUCGGCGCGUGAACCCGGCGCUAAAGAAACGGGCGCCCAGGGGAUCCGACUGCGCUCGUAUUCCUACUCUUCGCCCAAAAUCAGCCUGCGUCCGGCUCGUUUAACCCGGGACCAGCACGCUGCAGACCUCAGCCCUGAUGGCGUCCUCCACGGCGUCAGCCACAGCCGGUCUCUGCUUCAGGCCCUCUCUCUGUCUAAGUCUCUGUCUCUUCUCUACCCUGGUAGUAAGUACUGGACACCUGGCACAUAGCUGUGUGUGUGUGUGUGUGUGUGUGUGUGUGUGUGUGUGUGCAAUAAACAUUCACAUUUGCAAAUGAAAAGACGGCUGCUUGCUCUGCGGCCGGUGACGUGCGUGUGCUCGUGCAUUGUUCUGUGGCCGUGUUUCUUUGCAUAUCCACUGUGGGUUUUUUUAAUUCAUAAACGCUUCAGUACCAACGGCUCCUCCGGCGGGCUCCGUCUCACGCGUUCACUCUCAAGUUUUAAUACUUCU